ACAGAGGCUGUAGCAUGUGCACGGGGGCUUGGUCUCUCUUGCUGCCCUGGAGACCAGCUGCCCACGAAGGAGCCAGAGCCAACCUGCUGCUUCCUGGAGGAAGACAGUCACUCUGUCUCUGCCAACCCAGUUAACCGCAGACAUGCAGGUCCGCUCAGGAAAAGCUUUGGAUCACAAUUCCCAGUGCUGAAGAAAAGGCCAAACUCUGGAAAAAACUUUGAAUAUUUUGAGCCAAAUGUGAGGACCACGACCUGUGAGAACGGAAAAUAAAUCCUGGGAUCCCAGACUCACUAAGCCAAAGGGAGAGGUCAAGCUGGGAACUGGCUUAUGCAAACCUGCUUCCCAUUUGGUUCCUAAAUAAGAUAGCUAUUACACAAAGA
rnacentral:lncRNA from 1 species